UUUAUUCUCGCCUGGUAGACGCCAACUUGAACAUGUGCUUCAAGUUUCAAAGAUUUCACCAAGGUUUAAGAAUUUGACCAGAAGUGGACCAAAACAUAGCGAGUGUUGGUUGUUUACAUCUGUGGGACAGACCUCAGCCUUUGAUAAACGAAAUACCAAGCAAAAUAACAACAGCUUGAUAUGAAUGAAAGCUGAAUAGAUGCCACUGAUGGACAUGAUUCUAAUGAACCAGCAUUGGAGGAGGAGACAUGACAGCUAUACCCGCAGUUUGCUACUGUGGUCCUCUGAAAUAGAAGUCUAGACUGUCCCUCUGUUAUUUUAUCUGAAGAGAUGGAAGGGAAUGGUGGAAAUCUCUGACAAGUGAGGAUGAAAAUGCAAGCAACGGUGGUCAUGGUGACAAAAAUGGCAGAAGAGACCAAAGAUUUGGAAGAAGUGAUAAGAG
rnacentral:lncRNA from 1 species